CCCCCCCCCCCGUUUCGUCUCGCCUUUCGCUGGUAUGCAUCGGCUACGGUCGAUUGGUGCAAGGAGUGUGGACAUAUUUGACUGUGUUGAGGAGGUUUUGAUGUAAGGGGAUGCGCUGGAUGCAGCUUCUUGCCUAUCAAGGGAUAUAUGACAUUGUCGCUGCGAAAGUGUUUGCUGAAGCGCAUGAGGAGGAGAAUUCUGUGCUUGAAGAACGCUGAUCAUUUGUAUAUUGUAAUGUAUCUCUCGUACUCCCUCGGUGCGCAAGCAUGGAGAGUGGUCGCCACCUGCAUGCAUCCUCGAUUUGUGGCGUUUCUGUUCUUUGCAAUGUACCGAUUAAGGUCAAACACAACCACGGAAGGAACUUCUCCAUGGCUACGUUCUCAAUUCACUGUCAAUUAUCCACAAUAAACCGUGGGCUUUGACCUACUUGUGGUCUCAUGUAGUAGAAACCUUUGUGAAGGGCUAUAUCUUGGCUUUCUCCUUCGAGCUUCCAUGAACUAAUAGAAGGAGGAGGAGUGCCUUGUGAGACUUCUGACGAUGUAUAAACAAGCACUCAUCCUUGGUCCUUGUCUUCACGUUCUAAGAUGAAAUCAUUCAGGAAAUACGCAAAUCCGAGCAGAAUUCUUCGGAACAUUACUGGUUUAUUAAAUGGACUUAAUAUUUAAUAUUUAAUUUUAAUUUUAGUUUUAAAAGUUUUUGAUCAUUUUAGAUAAAUGAUUGAAAAUGCAAUGAAACGAAUAUGAGAGAAGCUACAUUGAAGAUGAUAUCUCAUUUGAUCAUGUCCAAGAUUAUUAAAAAUUGCACUAUUCUUCCACGCAAUGUUUGUCAAUUCUGAUUAUUUAAUUAAGAUUUAUUCUGUAAAUUGAAAUGCAUCAAUUUACAGAAUACAGUAAUACAUGGCAACCAUACACAUUGUAUUGUCAUCAGAUUAGCACAGAGACUCCAUGUACUCUUGUUUGUUUCUUAGGGAUGGAUGUUUGUGGAAAUUUGGGGUGGUUAAUUUAUCGUCUCUGCAGAAUAUAUUUCUGGAUUAUUCAUGGCGUUAUUGAAGAAUGAAAUCAAUUUACCUUGUGAAAAGCUACCUCUUAAUGAAUUCAAAAUUGUUUUAAACUAUCAUUAAAUUCUUAAUUAAGAAAAAUAAGUUUGUAGUUUUUCAUACAAUACAAAUUAUUAUAAAAUUUGAAAUUUAU